GACAGAGGGGGCAAACGUUUUCCGGAGUUACUGGGCGUAAAGGGCGCGGAGGCGGCCUGCGGCGUCGGCGCUGAAAGCGCCCCGCUUAACGGGGCGAGGCGUGCCGAUACGCGCAGACUUGAGGCGAGCAGAGGGUGGUGGAAUUCCGGGUGGAGCGGUGAAAUGCGUAGAGAUCCGGAGGAACGCCAGUGGGGAAGCCGGCCACCUGGGCUCGUCCUGACGCUGCGGCGCGACCGCGUGGGGAGCAAACCGG
rnacentral:rRNA from 1 species